rnacentral:rRNA from 1 species
UACGGAGGGUGCAAGCGUUGCUCGGAAUCACUGGGCGUAAAGCGCGUGUAGGCGGUCUCGUGUGUCUGGCGUGAAAGCCCCAGGCUCACCCUGGGAAGGGCGUCGGAAACUGCGAGACUAGAGUCCCGGAGAGGAAGGUGGAAUUCCAGGUGUAGCGGUGAAAUGCGUAGAUAUCUGGAAGAACACCGGUGGCGAAAGCGGCCUUCUGGACGGUGACUGACGCUGAGACGCGAAAGCGUGGGGAGCAAACAGG